ensembl:snRNA U6 U6 spliceosomal RNA
AUCCUGACCGCAGCACUCACACUAAAACUAUAACAAUACGGAGAAGAUUAACAGGGCUCCUGCGCAAGGAUGACACUCAUUUUUAGUUUUUU